rnacentral:rRNA from 1 species
CAAUAGCGUAUAUUAAAGCUGUUGCGAUUAAAAAGCUCGUAGUUGGAUUUCUGUCAAGGACAACUGGUCCGCCCUCCGGGUGAGCACAUAGUUUGGUCUUGGCAUCUUGCUGGAAACUGUUGCUGCGCUUGGUUGUGUGGUGCAGCUUUCAGCACUUUCACUUUGAGGAAAUUGGAGUGUUUCAAGCAGGCACAUGCCUUUGGACACAGUAGCAUGGAAUAAUUAGAUUGGGCUUUUGCUCCAACUUGUUGGUUCCUGGAGCUGAGGUGAGAAUCAAUGGGGAUUGUUGGGGGCAUCCGAAUUUAGCCGUCAGAGGUGAAAUUCUUGGAUCUGCUAAAGACGGACAACUGCGAAAGCGUUUGCCCAGGAUGUUUUCAUUGA